rnacentral:misc_RNA from 1 species
AUUAAAUAUUAAAAUCAAAAUUAUUAUUACAUUACACUAUUUAUAUUUUUAUUUUGCAAUCAAGCAUAAGAAUAUAAUGAAAUUACAUUCCAUUAUAAUGCAACUUUGAUUGUAUUACAUAAUUGAUUACAUUGCAUUACAUUACACUCUACCAAAUGUAACCUUAAGUCAUAAUUCUACAUAGAUUUCCAUUUUUGUUUCACUUCUCAAGUUCUGAUUGUCAAGUCUCCAAUUGAUCAUUAUUAUCUGCAGUCAUUAUUUGUUAAGUAAUCAAAGGAUCAGCUGCUCUGUUUAGGCAAAAAUACUACUUUGUUCUUUUAUUUUGAAAUGAUGUAGGAAAAUUGAUUUUCAUGUAGGCAUCAAACACCUUUUCCCUUGGCAAGAGCAUUGGCUUGAAGAAAUUAAAGCUUUUUAAUUGCUGAAUGCAGGCUAGCAUUUUAAAUAUUAAUUGUUUCUUCAUUAGUUAAUUCCACUAUGUUGUUGAAUGUUGAUAAAAAAGACUACACUAGCAUUUUAAUGUUAAUGGUUUCUUCAUUACCUAAAUCCACUAUGUUGUUUAUGCAAUAUAGUUUCUGGUGGCAAAAUUAGCAACCUGGAUGACUUAAAAUCAGCUUCAGAUCACAAUGCUACUACCAUGAUAUUUAACAACACUGAUGUUAUUCUCAAUUAUCAUAAUAUCGUCUUUCAUGUUGAACUAUCUCUUUGUUUUUUUUUUGAUUCAUGUGUUUCAAAAGAAUGUUUAUUCUCUUUUGAUGUUGUUUCUGUUCUUAGAUGGCCCCAAAGCAGAAAAUUA